AACUUUCAACAAUGGAUCUCUUGGUUCCGGCAUCGAUGAAGAACGCAGCGAAAUGCGAUAACUAGUGUGAAUUGCAGAAUUCCGUGAAUCAUCGAGUCUUUGAACGCACAUAGCGCCCCCUGCUAUUCCGGGGGGCAUGCCUGUCCGAGCGUCA
rnacentral:rRNA from 1 species